rnacentral:rRNA from 1 species
GACGAACGCUGGCGGCGUGCUUAACACAUGCAAGUCGAACGAAGUGGCGAACGGGUGAGUAACGCGUAAUCAACCUGCCCUUCAGCGGGGGACAACAGUUGGAAACGACUGCUAAUACCGCAUACUGAAGGAGGGGAUUGCGUCUGAUUAGCUAGUUGGGGGGGUAACGGCCCACCAAGGCGAUGAUCAGUAGGCGGUCGGAGAGGAUGAUAGGCCAAAUGGGGACUGAGACACGGCACAGACUCCUACGGGAGGCAGCAGUUGGGAAUCUUCCGCCAUGGACGAAAGUCUGACGGAGCAACGCCGCGUGAGGGAUGACGGCUUUCGGGUUGUAAAGCUCUGUUAAUCGGGACGCGGUACCGGAAUAGAAAGCCACGGCUAACUACGUGCCAGCAGCCGCGGUAAUUC